UAUCUCUUAUUUGUAAAAUUUCAUAGUGGAAAUGUUUGCGUGAGCAUGAGUAUGCGUCGUUAAAUUGUUUCAAGUUUGAAGGAUAAGAUGUUUCCAGAAGAUUAUGGUGCUUCCAAAUAAGAGGUUCUGUCAUAGAUGAAAGAAUUAAUUUGACGAAGUUGUAACAUCAUCUUCAACAACCGAACGA